rnacentral:lncRNA from 1 species
GUUUGUUUAUGUAAUUUAUACGUGUUUCUCGUUUCUCAUAUUUUUUUAAUUAUAGAUUAGACCGUUGGUUUCCCCGUUUGAAUGGUUUUACACUAGUAAUUUUGGGGCCCUUUAUAGCUUGCUGUUCGGUGUGAGCCAAUGCUCCGUGUUGAAGGCCGUACAUUGACCUAUAAUGGUUUACUGUUUUAAAUUGUUAGUUGGAUGGAGAGUUGUCUCAUUGGCACUCACACCACAUCUUCCUAUAUCUAUU